rnacentral:rRNA from 1 species
UAGACUCUGGGAUAACUCUUGGAAACAGGUGCUAAUACCGGAUAUGAACUUCCGUGGCAUCACGGAAGUUGGAAAGCUCCGGCGGUCUAGGAUGGACUCGCGGCCUAUCAGCUUGUUGGUGAGGUAACGGCUCACCAAGGCUUCGACGGGUAGCCGGCCUGAGAGGGUGACCGGCCACAUUGGGACUGAGAUACGGCCCAAACUCCUACGGGAGGCAGCAGUGGGGAAUAUUGCACAAUGGGCGCAAGCCUGAUGCAGCAACGCCGCGUGCGGGAUGACGGCCUUCGGGUUGUAAACCGCUUUCAGCAGGGACGAAGCUAACGUGACGGUACCUGCAGAAGAAGCACCGGCUAACUACGUGCCAGCAGCCGCGGUGAUACGUAGGGUGCGAGCGUUGUCCGGAAUUAUUGGGCGUAAAGAGCUUGUAGGCGGUUUGUCGCGUCGGGAGUGAAAACUCAGGGCUUAACCCUGAGCCUGCUUUCGAUACGGGCUGACUUGAGGAAGGUAGGGGAGAACGGAAUUCCUGGUGGAGCGGUGGAAUGCGCAGAUAUCAGGAGGAACACCGGUGGCGAAGGCGGUUCUCUGGACCUUUCCUGACGCUGAGAA